CAGCCGCCGCGGUAAAACGGAGGGUGCAAGCGUUAAUCGGAAUUACUGGGCGUAAAGCGUGCGUAGGCGGUUCGUUAAGUCUGUUGUGAAAGCCCCGGGCUCAACCUGGGAAUGGCAAUGGAUACUGGCGAGCUAGAGUGUGUCAGAGGAUGGUGGAAUUCCGCGUGUAGCAGUGAAAUGCGUAGAGAUGCGGAGGAACACCGAUGGCGAAGGCAGCCUCCUGGGCCAAUACUGACGCUCAUGCACGAAAGCGUGGGGAGCAAACAGGAUUAGAUACCCCAGUAGUCCCUGUCUCUUAUAC
rnacentral:rRNA from 1 species